AUGCAUUAAUUAAUAAAUAAUAAGAUAUCCUACUGAAUGUAAAUAUUGGGACAAGUGCAAUCAGGGGAACCGGAAGCAGAUGUGUCGCGCGCGUGCGCAAUUUAUUUUAAAUUCAAAUCCGAAAAACCGUAAACGGUAAAAACGUCUGGAAAAAGCAAACAGAUAGAAGAGACAUUUAGCAUUAAAUAAAUACUUAAAAAUACUUAAUAUAUAGAAAUAAAACAGGAAUACGAGAAGAUAAUUAUUUCAGGUCUUCGUUUGGUUCAAUGACGGCGUCCAAUCUGUUAGUAAGUUAUAAAGUUAUAAAACAAACUAAAACUGAAGGCUCCUACACACCUUAACACGGCUUUUCUACUGAAAUAGCUAAACAGCACAGCAUCAGGACACGAGCCGAUUCUCGCUCUACACCACAAAAGGGGAAUUUGUCCACCGGCCCGAACGUCACACAGGCAAACACUCCAGAAGCACAGUGUGGUGAGAACCGUCUCCUGUCACUGAGACUCAUGACCACACCCUCGAAACAUAGUUCAACCUGAGGGGUUUUCAGGCCGGUCGAAGACAGAAACUGCAAAAGUGAAAGGUAAUGUAUUUUUUUUUUUAUUUUUGUUACUUGACCUUCUUUUAUUUCCCUCUGUCUGGGUGUCAAAAGAAGUUCUAGUUCCUCCUAUGAACUUCUCAUUUGAGAGUCUCCUAACAACACACACACGCUUUGAUAUAAUUCUGUUCGAUUCGACCGGAUUUACAAGAAAGUCUGACUUACAGUGUCACUGUUAGUUCGAUCACGCUCGACAUGGUACCAGCUCUGGUUUUCUAACAGCAUUUAAUCAUCUCUGCCUGCAGUGUUAUUUAUGUGUGGAAACAAACAGCGCUGGUUCGGAGAACUUUGUCUGGAACACACUUGAGUUGAUUCAGAGUGAAACAACACUUGGCCUUGUGACGCAGGUGAAAGAUCAUCUAAGUACCACAUGGGUUUGUUGCACUGAUCACAGAUGUGAGAGGGGGAGAGAAAGGAAGAAUGAGAGACAGAAAAAAAAGAGAAAGAGAAAGAGAGACAGACAGACAGAGACGACUCAUUGCCCUUUGCUCUGAUUAGGUCUAUGACCUUCGUUGGAUUUUCUUUCUUUCUUUUUUUUUUUUUUCGAACCAAUCCCAAACAUGCACCAAUCCUGGAGCUUGAAGCUCACUACAGACGGCGCUUUUCUAUUUGGACUGAAUAGUUAUUUGUCUAGUUUCAUUGUGAACAGAAACCAGCUCUAAAUUAGCACUUUUGUUCUGAGGUUUCACACAUAAGGCCCCGCUGCCAAUAUCAAAAGAUUAUAAGAGCGUUCAUAGAGGAUCACGUCUUCCUGUUCAUUUCGGGUUCGUUUCCUUUUUAGUGCGAUAAAGAGUGCACCGUGACGCAGGACCGGGCCGCGUUAUCGUGCGCGAGGUCUGUGUGGUCGUGUCUCAUACCUGCUCUUUCAGUUCAGUCAGCUGGCCAGACAGGUUGGAGACCAGUUUCAUGGUGGACUCUAGUUUCUCCUGCAGGUUCCUGAUCUCGUUCUGCUCCCCCUCAGCGUCGCUGCUCACUAGCGACAUCGCCCUCAUCCGAGGAAACCAGUCCAAGUUGUGCUCCUGUUGGAACAGUCAUAAGCGUUUAAAGCUCGACGUGUCCUUUGCGAGGACACCAGAGAUGGUGUAUGUUAACUUUUAACCCUAAAACUGUGCUAAGUUAUGUCAUCAAGUUAUUAUCGGUUAUUCGUUCCAUGUCAUUUUGUCAGUCGGCUCUCUGUUGGCUUUGGCUUUUAUAUAGUACACGCUUCGCUAAACGUUAACGAGCCGGGAUCGCCUGAAAUGUCCCGGGUCGUUUGUAACGUGUGUGUGUGUGUGUGUGUGAGCACAGAUAAAAAUCAGUGAAACAUCUAAAACAAUGUCAGUAAUUUUUUUUUUUUUAAUCCUACAAAAUCAAUCCAAUAUGUCUCCUCUUACUACACGUUCCAUAAAUACG